AUUGAACGCUGGCGGCAUGCCUUACACAUGCAAGUCGAACGGUAACGGGCCUUCGGGUGCCGACGAGUGGCGAACGGGUGAGUAAUACAUCGGAACGUGCCCGAUCGUGGGGGAUAACGAGGCGAAAGCUUUGCUAAUACCGCAUACGAUCUACGGAUGAAAGCAGGGGACCGCAAGGCCUUGCGCGGACGGAGCGGCCGAUGGCAGAGUAGGUAGUUGGUGGGAUAAAAGCUUACCAAGCCGACGAUCUGUAGCUGGUCUGAGAGGAUGAUCAGCCACACUGGGACUGAGACACGGCCCAGACUCCUACGGGAGGCAGCAGUGGGGAAUUUUGGACAAUGGGCGCAAGCCUGAUCCGGCCAUGCCGCGUGCAGGAUGAAGGCCUUCGGGUUGUAAACUGCUUUUGUACGGAACGAAAAGCCUUCUUUUAAUACAGGAGGGUCAUGACGGUACCGUAAGAAUAAGCACCGGCUAACUACGUG
rnacentral:rRNA from 1 species